GAGGGUAUAUCUCAGUGGUAGAGUGUGUGCCUAGCAUGCCCAAGGUCCUGGGUUCCAUCCCCAGUACCUCCA
rnacentral:tRNA from 1 species